ACGAAGGGGGCUAGCGUUGCUCGGAUUUACUGGGCGUAAAGGGCGCGUAGGCGGAUUUCUAAGUCAGAGGUGAAAGCCCGGGGCUUAACCCCGGAAUUGCCUUUGAUACUGGAUUUCUUGAGUACGGGAGAGGUGAGUGGAACUCCGAGUGUAGAGGUGAAAUUCGUAGAUAUUCGGAAGAACACCAGUGGCGAAGGCGACUCACUGGCCCGUUACUGACGCUGAGGCGCGAAAGCGUGGGGAGCAAACAGGAUUAGAUACCCUGGUAGUCCACGCCGUAAACGAUGAGUGCUAGUCGUCGGCAUGCAUGCAUGUCGGUGACGCAGCUAACGCAUUAAGCACUCCGCCUGGGGAGUACGGUCGCAAGAUUA
rnacentral:rRNA from 1 species